rnacentral:lncRNA from 1 species
CUUUUUAUCUAGACUGUGUCUUUAAAGUGGUGGAAAUGACCAAUUCUGUGUCUUAGGAGGGAGGUGGCAUGAAGCCGGGAAAUGACUGAGGAAGGGAUACUGAUAUGAAAUGAUUUAUUUCUGGAAAAUGCUCUUGUCCCUGGUUCCCUUCACGCCCCCACCCCCAGCCUCAGCUCUGUCUGGGUGGAACGAAUGUCUGCUAAUGAACUAAACAAACAGGUCUCUUAAUCUUAUCAUGGAGCUGACCCAGAGACUGGCACAGAUAUCCAAAGUAUCAUAAUUGGCAGGUCAGAAUUAAAACUACAUACAUCAUGGUGACUUUAUAGCUGAGGCAAAGUGGAGCUCAAGUGUUACUUUCCCAGUAAGCAAAUCAUAAUGAAGUAUCAUGCUGGUGACUAAUUUAACUAACAUUGUCCAGGAAAUUGCUGUUGUCCAGGAAGAGAAGAGUUGAGCCGAGUGUCAACUACUAGGCUUCUGGCACCAUCCUGCACAAGAAAUUGGAGCAUAAGGGACAUUUCCACAUUCUAACUUUACAUGAAGACUCAGGACUUUGAAAGCCCAUGAGAAA